GGAGGGGGGAGGCGCACAUGCAUUGAGAGGAGCCCACUUGCACACACACAUAGUAGUAGCAGCCGCAUUUCCACAGCCCGCUCUUCAGACUGACAGCAGCACACGGAGUUGAGAGCCAGCACAACAGAGAGAGGAGGACAGAGGGCUGGUGACAAGGAAAUCAUCUACAGAGGACAGGAAAGAAGAGAUUUACUCAGGAUUUGCAGCUUUUUCAGCACCCUGGGAACCAUAAAAGGAAUCUCCACUCUGCUCUUCUUCAGCUGAACUUUCUCUGCUGGACAACCUGCUCUCUGCUAUGGCAGCCCUGAUGGGACAUGGGGACUCGGCGGCUUCCCUCUCAUCCGUCUCCUCUCAUCCUUGGGUGUUCUUCCUCUUGGCUCUCUCCUCUCUCUUGAGUCAGGUCUGCUGCUUUAAUCUGGACACCACUCACACACUGCACAAGCUGGGAGAUCGGGGGACCUUCUUUGGUUUCUCCGUGGCACUUCACCAGCAGCUUAACCCCGAGCCUCAAAGCUGGAUCUUGGUGGGAGCACCACAGGCAGCAGGGCAGGGUCUGUUGACGGGAAGUCGGCCUGGAGCCCUUUUCCGUUGUCCGAUCACGCCGGAGGAGUAUGACUGUGAGAGGGUCAAUAUCGAUGGAGACGUAAGUCUUGACAGAGAAAGCAAAGACAAUCAGUGGUUGGGAGUUUCGGUAAAAAGUCAAGGAAUUGGAGGCAAGGUAGUGACCUGUGCUCACCUGUAUGAGCUACGACAACGAGUCACGCAACCUUCGGAAACUCGGGAUCCCAUCGGACGCUGCUACGUCCUGAGCGAUGACCUGACGAGGCGGGACGACUUGGACGGAGGGGAGUGGAAGUUCUGUGAGGGUCGACCGCAGGGACACGAGCAGUUUGGCUUCUGUCAGCAGGGCCUGUCUGUCAGCUUCACUCCAGACAGAAACUUUAUCCUGUUUGGAGCUCCAGGAACCUACAACUGGAAAGGCGAACUGCGAGUCGAGCUCCUGAACCAGACUGUUCUUGAACUCGGUUUCUAUGACGACGGCCCGUACGAGGUGGCAGGUUACAAUGAGCUCAAUGCGCUGCUCAUCCCCUUGCCCUACCACAGUUACCUGGGGUUUUCUGUAGACUCAGCUAAGGGUAUAAUGAAUCUCAAGGAGCUGACCUUUGUGGCCGGCGCACCACGUGCCAAUCACACAGGGGCUGUAGUGCUGCUGAGGAAGGACAACGUGCACCGACUGGUGCCACAGCACAUCUUCUGGGGGGAGGAGCUAGCUUCCUCGUUUGGAUAUUCGGUGGCUACCACAGAUCUUAACAAAGAUGGAUGGACAGAUGUGAUUGUUGGAGCUCCCAACUUUUUUGACCGCAAAGCAGAGAUUGGUGGAGCUGUUUAUGUUUUUCUAAACCCGCUCGGUCACUGGGACGACCAGGCCAGACCGAUCCGCCUCAACGGGACGUACGACUCCAUGUUUGGGAUGACAGUCAGUAACAUCGGGGAUCUGGAUCAGGACGGAUACGGAGAUAUUGCUGUGGGAGCUCCAUUUGAUGGAGAUGGGAAGGUUUUUAUCUACAGAGGCUCCGAUGCUGGGAUUGAAACUAAACCUGCUCAGGUUCUGGAUGGCCAUGACUUUGAUGUGACACGUUUCGGAUACUCCAUCUCAGGGGGGCUGGAUAUCGACGACAACCAUUAUCCAGAUGUGGUUGUUGGUUCUCUUAAUGACUCAGUGGUUCUCUUCAGGUCUUGUCCGGUCAUCCAUGUGGUCAGAGAAGUAUCAAUUGACCCUCAAAAUAUUGAUCUGGACCAAAAGAACUGCAAGGGAAGAGACGGCGUCUGUGUUGAGGUUAAGGCCUGUUUUAUGUUCACAGCACACCCUCAUCAUUACUCACCACACGUUACCCUGGUGGUGCAGUUUGAAGCAGACACAGAGCGCAGAAAGCUGGGCCUCCCUCACCGGGUGAGCUUCCUGGGACGCAGCUCGCUGGAGCCUGAAUACACCCAAACAGAAGAAGUGGAGCUGCAUCGACAGCGCGAGACUCACUGUGCCACGGCCGCCUUCCAGCUGCACGAAAACAUUCGUGACAAACUGCGUCCCAUUUCAUUAGCGAUAACCCACAACAUCAAGCCUGUGCCGCCACGCAGAAACUCUGCCAAGAGGCCGCAGAAACUACCACCUGUGCUGAAUAUCUCUCCGUCUAAAACGCUAAAUUCUGAGGUGAACUUCUUGCGAGAAGGAUGCGGCAGCGACAAAAUCUGUCAGAGCAAUCUGAUGCUGAGCUACCAGUUUGGAACAACGCACCUUAACUCUGACUUCUUCACUCCUCUGCCAAAAGAUAACGGUGGCGUUCAGGUGUUUUCUCUGUCUGAUCAGCGACUGGUGGUGCUGGAGAUCACAGUCACCAACAUGCCUUCAGACCCUCUGAACCCCGAGGAGGACGGCGACGACGCUCAUGCUUCCCAGCUGUUCAUCACACUUCCAGACACGUUAACGUACGCCGGCUCCAGGGUCCCACCGCAGAUGAUAUGUCAAGCGAAUCUGAAUGGGUCCCAGGUUGAAUGUGAUCUGGGAAAUCCUGUCAAGCGAAAUGCGAAGCUAAAAUUCACCAUCAACCUGAGUACAUCAAAUAUUACUACUGAGACCACUGAGCUCACUGCAGAUCUCCAACUGGCAACGAUCAGUGAACAGCUUAAUCUGGAUCCUGUCACUGCUUUUGCUAAAGUUGUGAUAGAGCUCCCCCUGUCUGUCAACGGACUGGCUCGUCCUCAUCAGCUGUUCUUCAGCGGGACUGUAAAGGGGGAGAGUGCCAUGACCAGCCUGGAGGACAUCGGCAACCCUGUAGAUUUAGAAUUUGUGCUCUCCAAUCCUGGAAAAGCGCUCCAGAAACUUGGCUCCGCCUUCCUCAACAUCAUGUGGCCUAUCGAGCUGCCCAAUGGGAAGUGGCUGCUCUAUCCCGCAAGCCUGAGGUUCGAGGGCCAACCAGACACUCGCUGCAGUCCUGCUGAGGCUGUGAAUCCUCUAAAUCUGCAGAGCUCAUCAGCUGCUAAUCAGGUGGUGGGUAGAAGUCGCCGUUCACACCCAGAGGAGGAAGAUCGAGUGUUGACAAAAGGCAGCGAUGUCGGCACCACGCCAGCAGUGGCAGCUUCAGAGAGACGCAAGUCACUCAAACUGGAUUGCCUGCUGGGGUCAGCGCGCUGUGUGCUGUUCCAGUGUCCACUCCACAGCUUUACUGGUCAGGCUGUCCUCAAGAUCCACGCCAGGCUGUGGAAGAGCAGUUUCAUAGAGGAUUUUCCAACAGUUAGUGCUCUGGAGCUGCUGAUCAGAGCUAACAUCUCUGUGAAGUCCAGCAUCAAACAUCUGGUCCUCAGAGAUGCAUCUGUACAGAUCCCAGUAAUGAUCUACCCGGAGCUUGAUCUUGCAGAACAGUACAUGAUUCCCUGGUGGAUCAUCCUGAUAGCCAUCCUGGCAGGCAUCCUGCUGCUGACUCUCCUUGUCUGCAUAUUAUGGAAGUGCGGCUUCUUCAAGCGCAGCGAGCGGCGCCCGCACUAUGAGACGGAGUACUACCGCGCCCAUUUGGGGGUGCAGCCCUCGGAGGCGGAGAAGCAGGCAUUAGAGCUAUAAUAUCAAACCUAUUUCCAUCUGGCCUGCUCUCCCCUCCUCCUCUCUCUCCAAGCGUGUGGCUUCUUCCGACGUGCCCACUACAAAGACAAACUUCCUCAGUACCACGCGGUGAAGAUUCCUCGCGAGCUCCGGCCGCAGUUCCA